rnacentral:tRNA from 1 species
GGCGCUAUAGCUCAAGUGGUAGAGCACUAGCCUUGAGCUGAAGAGCUGAGGGACAGCAUUCAGGCCCAGAGUUCAAGCCCCAAGACUGAAAAAAAAAAAAAAAAAAAGCUAAAAGCCCUGAGUUCAAGCCCUAGUACUGCUA